UUGAGCUUGAUCCUGGCUCAGAUUGAACGCUGGCGGCAGGCCUAACACAUGCAAGUCGAGCGGUAGAGAGAAGCUUGCUUCUCUUGAGAGCGGCGGACGGGUGAGUAAUGCCUAGGAAUCUGCCUGGUAGUGGGGGAUAACGUUCGGAAACGGACGCUAAUACCGCAUACGUCCUACGGGAGAAAGCAGGGGACCUUCGGGCCUUGCGCUAUCAGAUGAGCCUAGGUCGGAUUAGCUAGUUGGUGAGGUAAUGGCUCACCAAGGCGACGAUCCGUAACUGGUCUGAGAGGAUGAUCAGUCACACUGGAACUGAGACACGGUCCAGACUCCUACGGGAGGCAGCAGUGGGGAAUAUUGGACAAUGGGCGAAAGCCUGAUCCAGCCAUGCCGCGUGUGUGAAGAAGGUCUUCGGAUUGUAAAGCACUUUAAGUUGGGA
rnacentral:rRNA from 1 species